UCUCUCUCGGGGUCACACCUGAAGAGUUUCCAGUACUCUACCAGUCUCGUUUACGAGAGGGAGAGCCAAGCAGACUCAUUCCAUUCCUAGCUUGGGCAGUGGCUAGCGAGUGGAAGGCAAUCUGCUACAAGU